GAUGAACGCUAGCUACAGGCUUAACACAUGCAAGUCGAGGGGAAACGACAUCGAAAGCUUGCUUUUGAUGGGCGUCGACCGGCGCACGGGUGAGUAACGCGUAUCCAACCUGCCCACCACUUGGGGAUAACCUUGCGAAAGUAAGACUAAUACCCAAUGAUAUCUCUAGAAGACAUCUGAAAGGGAUUAAAGAUUUAUCGGUGAUGGAUGGGGAUGCGUCUGAUUAGCUUGUUGGCGGGGUAACGGCCCACCAAGGCGACGAUCAGUAGGGGUUCUGAGAGGAAGGUCCCCCACAUUGGAACUGAGACACGGUCCAAACUCCUACGGGAGGCAGCAGUGAGGAAUAUUGGUCAAUGGACGAGAGUCUGAACCAGCCAAGUAGCGCGCAGGAUGACGGCCCUAUGGGUUGUAAACUGCUUUUAUAAGGGAAUAAAGUGAGCCUCGUGAGGCUUUUUGCAUGUACCUUAUGAAUAAGGACCGGCUAAUUCCGUGCCAGCCGCCGCCGUAA
rnacentral:rRNA from 1 species